rnacentral:lncRNA from 1 species
AAUUUUAGGGUAGAGGAGAAAUUACGACGAUGAGUCCUACCACUCCAUUUUUGAGGUUCAAAGUCUGAUCCCAUCUCACCCAUCAUGAAGGGAAAGAAAAGUAUGUUUAAAAACUAUUUUGAAUUUAAUCUUUCUCCUAAAUAUAUUUUAUAGUUAUUAUUAUGAAUAUGUUUUUUUUUCGUAUAUAAAUAUUUUGCACUCAAUUUCUUCUUCUUCCAGCAUCUUUCUGUUUUCAAGAGAAAAGAGAUUAACUAAUAUAAUGUCCCCUAGGAAAUUCCUGAAGGGGCCAUAAUGUAAGUAAAAUUCCCUUGUACGAUUUCCAUCAGCUUUAGCUCUACCCUUAUUAUGAUCUUAUGCUAAUAAUAGUCUUCCAUGUUUUGUAGCUGGAAGAAAACAGGAAGGCUCAGGAGAUUGUCUUCCGAGAUAUGUCACAUGACUAUCAAGAUUUAGUCGAUUCGAUUGGAGCAAAUAUGUAUUUGGAUAUUGCAAAGUGUUGGUGCUUUGUGCUCUCUCAUGUAAAU